GUUAAACGGGUUUGGAUUGGGUAUUUUUGAUAUUUGGGUUAAACGGGUCCAAUCCAUUUUGACACGAUUAAUAAACGUGUCCAAUUCAUUUAGACAUGAUUAAUAAACGUGUCUUAGCGGGUUGAACCCAUGUAACCCGAUUAUACACGAUUAAACCUGUUUAUUUAACCGUGUUUAAUCGUGUUACUGUAAUCGUGUAACCCAUUAACCCGUUUAUCUAACUGAAUUUACAAAAAUAUCCUUAGGUUAACCCUAAUUUCAAAAUUUCGGAGGCAGUAGGCUUGAGCUUCCACCCGGUUUCAACUUUCACACGCCCCCCUUCAUCCUUCAUCUUCACGAGUCGAAGCCCUCUACUCAGACCAGCUGACCAGACGAAGACGAACCCGCGAGCCGCGACCCUCGAGCCCUCGACUGCGACCUCAACUCGACCCCGCGACCCUCGAGCCCUCAAUCCUCGAACCGUCGACCUCGAGGUCUCUGCUUCUCUCCGUUGACACCAUUGUUCUGCUCCAAUACUCAAUAAAUCCAGCCUCCACCAGAGUCAAGGACGACUUCGAUUGUCUGCUCAGACGAAGCCUCCACCUGAGUCCUUCCGUCGUUCGGUCGACGGAACCCAGACGAAGGUGACCUCACCUCGCCUCCUCGAUCUCGAGUCGACUCCGCAACCUCCCUCUCUGAAGCAGUUCGAUAUCACCGUCCUUUGCAUUUCUUCUCCAACAAUCGAUUAUCAUCAACGCCGUUCCCUAGACUUGGACAUCUCAGCAACUCCGGGGUUAUUAUUCACUCGAAAUUUAAGUUGCUUGUUGCUAUCUGUGAAGAUUCAUGUGAUGGGUCUUUCUGCACAUUAAAGAAGGCCGUGUACCAUGUCUUUCUCGAUCUUUAGACAGUGACAACUACCAAGCUUAUUUGAAUACCAAGUGUGUUCUGGGAAUUUGCUAGGCAAUUUCUUGUUUCAAUAUCUCAGCCAUGAACGGAGCCACUUCAGUAUAAAAUAUUUGUAAGGGUUAACGAUAAAACUUGGGCUGUGUUUAGAAUCUCUAUACGCAGGAUUCCUUGCUAUCCUGAUCUGCUCCUAAGAUGAAUCUACUGCUAGAAUCAUCGAAGGAUGUUUCUUAUUUCGUGCUUUUCUGAAUCUAGACUACAAUUUUGUUGGUGAAUUAUCUAUGAUUAGAACUUGGUCGAGUUGCGAGUCUGUGAGACAUAGCUUAUUUGAAUACCAAUUGUGUUCUGGGAAUUUGCUAGACAAUUUCUUGUUUCAAUAUCUCAGACAUGAACGGAGCCACUUCAGUAUAAAAUUUUCGUAAGGGAUGACAAUAAAUCUUGGGCUGUGAUUGAGAAUCUCUAUGCGCAGGAUUCCUUGCUAUCCUCACCCACUUUACCUAUUUCUGGUUUUCAAUUGCAAAAGAAUGCUAUGAUAGGGGGAGCUGUAACAGGGCUGGCGAUAUCCCUCGCCAGCAACAAUCAUAAAGACAAGAUUGUAAUGGAUGCUAUUACUGGAAGCGCCAUUGCAACAGCUGCCGAGUUCAUCAACUAUCUUACAAGUCAGAAAUUGAGAACUGGGACUUGUCUUUGAUGGAGGAGACUUGUGUUUGGCUUUCAAUAUAAUUUGGAUGAAUGUUUGAAAUUUUGUUGAUUGAGAACUGAGACUUGUCUUUGAUGGAGGAGAUUUGUGUUUGGCUUUCAGUAUAAUUUGGAUGUGUAUAAUUGAGAACUGGGACUUGUCUUUGAUGGAUGAGACUUGUGUUUGGCUUUCAGUAUAAUUUGGAUGGUGUUUGAAAUUU